CACAUUACAGGUUAUGCUCCGGAAGAUGGAGACAUUGGAGGAGAACCAGCGAGAGGCUCUCCUAUUCAGGCGACUACAGGGCAGACACACUGAAGAGGUGCCAGUGAUGGACCUACAGGUGGCCCAAACACAGGCUGAACUCCAAGACGCCUUAAGCGAGGAGCGCCUUAAGGUGCUGGAGUUGCGAAAGAGAGUGACGCUGUGAUGAAGUGGAAGACGGGACUGGGAGAGAAAGCUGUGGAGCUCCUCAUAGAGGAGACACUCAAACACAACCCGGCAGCCCGUUCAAAACAAGCCAGGGCCAACAGACAGGACCUGUAGCGGGGACUGGCAGAAGAUUUUAAUUCACUGUUUGGCACUUUGUUUGAAAUAAAAUGACAAUGUUACAUGGAAA